UCCUACCGUGACGAGGGACGCGAUACCCUUUCCUUAUCGAAACUUCCAACCUGUUGUCGUUACAAUAUUCUUCUUUUAUUCCGCUACAAACAAUCGAUAAAGAUAAAAGGGAAAAAAAGGGAGAUAAAGAAGGAAGGAAUCCCUUUAAAAGUAAAAUAAACGCAAAAAUUAUGUACGCGCGUAAGAAGUCGUAUAUAAUACUUCUUUAACGUACCAAAACGAAUGUAACUUUAAAAACAUCAAAAAAAUCUUCGUGGCGUCGAUUUUCGCGUCGCUCGUAAAAUUUUCUCAAACGCGCCAAAGGAAGUAGAACUUGUAAAAAAUAGAGAUCAAGAGUGAAAUUGAAUGAAAAUAAGAUCGAGGAUUCGACCAAUCCCUACACAUCCCCACCACCCCGUUUGAAGGAUUUUCAUACUCGACGAUGUUGUCGGUUGUUAAACUUACGUUCGAAGUGUUUGCCUGAAUUCGAUCUAAAUCAAUUUGACCUGUUCCUCCUGUUCCUCUUCCUCUUCCUCUUCCUCAUCUUCCCCUUAGUCGUCAUAGCAGACGAUCCGAUAUAUCGAUCCCCAUCGAAUUCUACUUAACGAGACUAGGCAACUAGCUAGCUAGCUAGCUACGUCGAAUCGAAACGCGGCAGAGACUGCACAAUGGGAAAUUUAGAACGAACGCGAGCUUGGGUAAUCAAUGAGCAGUUGGAGGUGA
rnacentral:lncRNA from 1 species